rnacentral:misc_RNA from 1 species
CCGAAAUUUAAAACUCACAACGCGAGUCUCGUGCGGAAGCAAAUAUGACUGCCGAGACUAUGUGACUCUUCAAGUCUUCCUUUGCUCAAAGUCAAACCACACUCGUGAAGCACAUGUGACGAGUCUGUGGUGAGCAUCGGGAGCACUGCGUUUCCUUCGGGAUUCACAGUCUAAAAAACGAAUUGUAAAAGUAUAUAUAUAAACAAAAAAAGACGAAAAAAU